CCGACCUCCACGUCCUCCUCCUCUAGUGCCACGUCCUCCUCUUCCACAUGUGGCAACCAUGACAGAUGGUUCUAGUGUUUCAUGAGCUUCCUGAGAUUGAGGCGCUGGAACACGAAGAAGACGUGUGGUCAAGGCUUCCAAGGUUGGGACCUCAUGGCUUGUCAGAAGUUGGUCUCUGAUGUGAUUCAAGUCUGGAUGCAAAGCACGNAGGAUCAUCACCAUAUAAUACUUGUCAAGCUUCUUCUUGAUGUC
rnacentral:lncRNA from 1 species